AUGGCGGAGGAAUCGUGGAGCAACUCCCCUCCGUCUGCCAAGCGAAUGGCGGAGGCAUCGUGGAGCAACUCCCCUCCGUCUGCCAAGCAUCACCGUGGUGAGGCGUCUGGCAAGGAGCCGAUGGUGGUCGACGACGACGUUCCGGUCCCCGGGCAGAAGCUGGACUACACCGUGCCGCUCAAGGUUGAUACCCACCUGAAGGAGCCGCUGGAUGUCAUAUGCACCAGCAAUCCAGACGAAGCCAACAAGAGGAUCCGCGAGAUCAGGAAGGGGCUCGGUGGCAUGCUUCCUCGGUCGAUCGGCGUUGAUGUCGAUUAUACCAGCGAAGACGAACCUCCGCAAAUGGCUGCAGUUCUGCAGUUAUGCGUGGAGGAUCUCUGCCUGGUAUACCACAUCACCGCGGCAACCAAAUGGCCCAAGGAACUCCGCCCGCUCCUGCUGGAGAAGGAGCUGUACACCUUUGUUGGCUUUUGCAUUGGAGGUGACAAGGAGAAGCUGAAGUUGUCUGGUUUGGAGAUCAACCCCGACAACCUCAUCCACCCAUCCUACAAGAAAAUGAAGCAGAAGAUCAACAAUGAAGAGGACCACAAACUAUGGGGGAUCAGCCCACUGCCAAAGUACCUCAUCGAGUAUGCAGCGAAAGAUGCGUACGUCACCUACGAGGCAUGGAAGAAAAUCGAAACCACCAGAGAAGAUUUCAAGCAAUGGCGAGAGGCGGAGGAGCAUUGGGAUGACCCCUACUACUGGGGACAAUGA
rnacentral:rRNA from 1 species